rnacentral:rRNA from 1 species
CUACGGGGGGCAGCAGUGGGGAAUAUUGCACAAUGGGGGAAACCCUGAUGCAGCAACGCCGCGUGGAGGAUGACACAUUUCGGUGCGUAAACUCCUUUUAUAGGUCAAGAUAAUGACGGUAGCCUAUGAAUAAGCGCCGGCUAACUCCGUGCCAGCAGCCGCGGUAAUACGGAGGGCGCAAGCGUUACUCGGAAUCACUGGGCGUAAAGAGCAUGUAGGCGGGUUAAUAAGUCAGAAGUGAAAUCCAAUAGCUCAACUAUUGAACUGCUUUUGAAACUGUUAACCUAGAGUGUGGGAGAGGUAGAUGGAAUUUCUGGUGUAGGGGUAAAAUCCGUAGAGAUCAGAAGGAAUACCGAUUGCGAAGGCGAUCUACUGGAACAUUACUGACGCUAAGGCGUGAAAGCGUGGGGAGCAAACAGGAUUAGAUACCCCCGUAGUC